GCCGCCGUAGCUCAGUGGUAGAGCAUCGGACGCUCUUUUCGAAGGUCGCAGGUUCGGUCCCUGCCGGCGGCA
rnacentral:tRNA from 1 species